UGUAAACAUUACACAAUGGAGAGCCCCUGCUGUCUGAGGGCAGCGGAGGCACUACUGGGCUCCUCCUCUUUGGAUUGCUCUUCCUGGGGGAGUACAGCACUUUAUGAAGUUGUGACAGCAAGCUCUGGAGGUGCCAGCAAGCUUGCAGCCCUCUCAGAAUUACGCUUGCAUUGCUGAGAAGAUGGGUCACAUUUCUGGGAAUCCACCCUGACUUCGUCUGGUGACGCUCUGGCUCUCUGAGGAUAGAGACAAGGAGCAGAUAGAUGAUUCUUACCCAGCUGCUGGUUCCACUUGAGGAACUUCACAACUCUGGGUGAUUAACAAGCUCCUGGAUGCUUGCAUGUGGGGCCUUCCCUUCUGGACAGACCUCCAGGAGAUACGGUCAGGACAAGGCGAUGGUGUGGGCAGCACCUGCUGGGGGCAAUGGGGCAGGAAGAAGGAGCAGAGAGAGCACUCUGGAUCUUCCCUCAUUCCUAAGGGGUGACAGCAGGACACAUCUCCAGCACAAGUCCUCAUUCUGCUCCUUGACUCAGGGGCAAAUGGCUUACAGGAAUUACAAAAUACAGACAGACAUCUUUAGCCCUUCACAAGAAGCUGCUGGCUGGUCUGGUGGGAAGCGAUGUGCCAAGGAGAAGAAAAGCAAGAUGAAAGCUCUGCCAGCAUGUCACUACGAGUGCUUUUGUAGAAACAGCACGAGUACGAUGAGCAAACCUUUGACCGCCUACUGGAAACAGACUUUUUUCUCAACACAGAAGCAAUCCCUUUGGAACAAGAGCCCUGACCAAGGCUGGGCGUCAGAGGAGGACUUACAGCGAGUUGUGGGGAGGAAGAAAACCCGCCAGUGGGACAGACAGUGUUGCCUUUUGUUUUAGUUUGUAGCACUGAUUGUUGGAUGCUUUUUGAUUUCACAAGAAUCUCUGGAUUUUGUCAACUUCCUUCAGAGAUUUUGCUGGGAAAAAAAAAAAAAAAAACAACAAAAAAACACCACCACCAAAUGGUAACUGUGCUUAAUGUUCUCCUUUCUCAACAAAACCACUCAACGUUUUCAUUCAAAUAAAGAUUUUCCAUGGACAGUAA